UGACCUUCGGAUCAGGUAGGGAUACCCGC
rnacentral:rRNA from 1 species